rnacentral:miRNA from 1 species
UUGGAUUGGCCAAAAAGUUUGUUCACAUUUUUCCUUAAGAUCUUAUGGGGAAAACCUGAGUGAACUUUUUGGCCAACACAA